rnacentral:tRNA from 1 species
CGUGAUGAACUCAAUCGGCUCCUAUAGGGCGGUCGCCGCGGCGACAGGUCGCAGGUUCAAAUCCUGUCACCCCGACCA